ensembl:lncRNA
AUGGAUCCAAGUCCAGAGUCCAAACGGAAGAAUCACAACCAGGAGGCAGAGAACGAGGUGAAGACGCGUGGGUCCGACGGGGACAGGGGAAACUCCACCCAGCAGUCCCACCAGCAGACAGGAAGUCCUCCCUCAGCAACUCCUGCUAACGUCGUCAACAUUUACUGCACCGGCUCCAACGUGAAGCUUGAGAUUCAGGAGAUUCUUCAUUCUGACACAUGUGGCAUCAAAACCACUGUAGUUUACAUAAACCAGGAGGAGAUAAGUCUGAGGGACAAACGGGAGAAGAUGCCGGACAACGAGUCGUCCGAAGUGACCAGUCAGAACAAUGGAAGCAGGAGUGAAGCCACAGAGAUGGGUCCGGCGGUGGACCAGAACAUGGACCAGAACAUGGACCAGAGCAUGGACCAGAGCAUGGACCAGAACUUGGACCACAGCAUGGACCAGUGCCUGGAUGUUCCUCCUCCCCAGCAGUUUGCAGACGCACCCGAUGGUUCAGAGGAGGCAACCCUGACCUCGGCUUCCUGCUGGAACAGACUCUGUAAACAAGCUGAGGUGGAAGCUUUCUUUGACCUGUCAGACUCGGACACUUUUGAGCCCUUGUUGAUGAGGGCGUCGUUGUCAACAAACAGGUCCAGCUUCACCAAAGACUUCAUCAACUGCCAGAAGAGGAAGUCGUGGAUCAGGAACAACAGCAUUGCAACGAUAGAACAAAGGACGUAUGUGCUGCAGAAGAAGCGACGGCAGACGUUUCCUGGGCUGUGGGACGCUCGAGGUCUGAUGCUGGACGAGGUGGAAUCCUCGUCCUCCUUGGUUCUGCUCACACUUCAUCUCCAGACCGAGAGACUGUUAGCGAACCGACGAGGAAACCACAGUUCUAAGUGUUCAUCAGAAGCUCCCAGCAGACAGAACAGGAAGCAGUCAUCCCUCGCUCUGCUCCAUAAAACAGACGACGCGUUCGCAUGCAGUGUUUCCAAGGAGACGCUGGCCGCUGACCAAGAAGCCUGUCAGAGUGAAGCAGUUGACAGCGGCUGUCACCAAGCAGACGCUCGCAGUCAAGAGCUUCAGUGGAGGGAGCUGCCUCCAAAAGCCUCUUCUAUUCACGUCAUCCCUCCAUCAUGCAGCGGCUCAGAGGAACAAAUAGAAGAGAGUCCUGAGGAAGAAGCCAAGGAGGAUGAAGGAUUCACACAGAUGGAACACACCUCUGCCCUGGAAAAACUCCACAAAGACGUGGAUCCAUUGAAAGUAGACAUAGAGGAGGCUCCAAGGGACGGCCUGGUGACCGGGUCCAGCCCUGUCAACUGCUCCAAGGCCCCACAGAUCCAACCAGAGCAGCUCAGUCGACCAGAUGAGAACAAAGCUGCUGCGUCCAGAUGCCACUCCGGGAACAAGGAGCCUCUAAGAGCUACUGUACCCAAAGAGCCCGACUACAGACAGAACGAGUCCGACCACUGGGGCAAAAGGAGGAAGCUCUUCAAGGAAACUAAGCAGGAAGCUGCAGGAAGCUCAGUGACCAGCGACGUCACCGAGGAGUCUGGUAAUGUCUAA